rnacentral:rRNA from 1 species
GUGGGGAAUAUUGGACAAUGGGCGAAAGCCUGAUCCAGCCAUGCCGCGUGUGUGAAGAAGGUCUUCGGAUUGUAAAGCACUUUAAGUUGGGAGGAAGGGCAGUAAGUUAAUACCUUGCUGUUUUGACGUUACCGACAGAAUAAGCACCGGCUAACUUCGUGCCAGCAGCCGCGGUAAUACGAAGGGUGCAAGCGUUAAUCGGAAUUACUGGGCGUAAAGCGCGCGUUGGUGGUUUUGUAAGUUGGAGGUGAAAUCCCCGGGCUCAACCUGGGAACUGCCUCCAAAACUGCAUGACUAGAGUACGGUAGAGGGUAGUGGAAUUUCCUGUGUAGCGGUGAAAUGCGUAGAUAUAGGAAGGAACACCAGUGGCGAAGGCGACUACCUGGACUGAUACUGACACUGAGGUGCGAAAGCGUGGGGAGCAAACAGGAUUAGAUACCCUAGUAGUCC